rnacentral:rRNA from 1 species
UACGUAGGUGGCAAGCGUUGUCCGGAAUUAUUGGGCGUAAAGCGCGCGCAGGCGGCCUUUUAAGUCUGAUGUGAAAGCCCACGGCUCAACCGUGGAAGGUCAUUGGAAACUGAAAGGCUUGAGUACAGAAGAGGAAAGCGGAAUUCCACGUGUAGCGGUGAAAUGCGUAGAGAUUGGAAAGAACACCGAUGGCGAAGGCACUUUACUGGGCUAUUACUAACACUCAGAGACGAAAGCUAGGGUAGCAAAUGGG